UACAGAGGGUGCGAGCGUUGUUCGGAAUUAUUGGGCGUAAAGGGCGCGUAGGCGGUGCGGUAAGUCACCUUUGAAAUCUCCUGGCUCAACUGGGAGCUUGCAGGCGAAACUGCCGUGCUGGAGUGUGGGAGAGGUGCGUGGAAUUCCUGGUGUAGCGGUGAAAUGCGUAGAUAUCAGGAGGAACACCUGUGGCGAAAGCGGCGCACUGGACCACAACUGACGCUGAGGCGCGAAAGCUAGGGGAGCAAACAGG
rnacentral:rRNA from 1 species